rnacentral:rRNA from 1 species
AUUGAACGCUGGCGGCAUGCCUUACACAUGCAAGUCGAACGGCAGCACGGGGCAACCUGGUGGCGAGUGGCGAACGGGUGAGUAAUGCAUCGGAACGUACCUUUCAGUGGGGGAUAACGUAGCGAAAGUUACGCUAAUACCGCAUAUUCUGUGAGCAGGAAAGCAGGGGAUCGCAAGACCUUGCGCUGAUUGAGCGGCCGAUGUCAGAUUAGCUAGUUGGUGAGGUAAAGGCUCACCAAGGCGACGAUCUGUAGCGGGUCUGAGAGGACGACCAGCCACACUGGAACUGAGACACGGUCCAGACUCCUACGGGAGGCAGCAGUGGGGAAUUUUGGACAAUGGACGCAAGUCUGAUCCAGCCAUUCCGCGUGCAGGAUGAAGGCCCUCGGGUUGUAAACUGCUUUUGUACGGAACGAAAAGGUCUCUCUUAAUACGGGGGACUCAUGACGGUACCGUAAGAAUAAGCACCGGCUAACUACGUGCCAGCAGCCGCCGUAAGAC